rnacentral:rRNA from 1 species
GAUUGAACGCUGGCGGCAGGCCUAACACAUGCAAGUCGAACGGUAACAGGAAGAAGCUUGCUUCUUUGCUGACGAGUGGCGGACGGGUGAGUAAUGUCUGGGAAACUGCCUGAUGGAGGGGGAUAACUACUGGAAACGGUAGCUAAUACCGCAUAACGUCGCAAGACCAAAGAGGGGGACCUUCGGGCCUCUUGCCAUCGGAUGUGCCCAGAUGGGAUUAGCUAGUAGGUGGGGUAACGGCUCACCUAGGCGACGAUCCCUAGCUGGUCUGAGAGGAUGACCAGCCACACUGGAACUGAGACGCGGUCCAGACUCCUACGGGAGGCAGCAGUGGGGAAUAUUGCACAAUGGGCGCAAGCCUGAUGCAGCCAUGCCGCGUGUAUGAAGAAGGCCUUCGGGUUGUAAAGUACUUUCAGCGGGGAGGAAGGGAGUAAAGUUAAUACCUUUGCUCAUUGACGUUACCCGCAGAAGAAGCACCGGCUAACUCCGUG